rnacentral:rRNA from 1 species
GAUGAACGCUGGCGGCAUGCUUUACACAUGCAAGUCGAACGGGAAGUGGUGUUUCCUGUGGCGGGCGGGAGAGUAACGCGUAAGAACCUGCCCUUGGGAGGGGAACAACAGCUGGAAACGGCUGCUAAUACCCCGUAGGCUGUGGAGCGUAAGGAGGAAUGCGGCCAAGGGGGGGCUGGCGUCUGAUUGGCUAGUUGGUGUGGUAAUAGCUUACCAAGGCCGUGAGCAGUGGGUGGUCCGAGAGGAUCAUCAGCCACACUGCGGCGGAGAGACGGAGCCGCCUCCGGGGGGAAGCAGUAGGGGGGAAUGUACCGUAGUGGGAGAACGGCUGAAGGAGCGAUGCGGGGGGGAGGUAAAAGGUCGACGGGUCAUGAGCUUUCUCUCGUGGCGAAGAAAGAAUGACGGUAACUGGUGAAUAAGCACCGGCUAACUACGUG